rnacentral:lncRNA from 1 species
CCGCUCCCAGCCCUCGCAGCACAACCAUCUCAGCCAUGUGCCCGCGCAGCUCGGGGGUGGCAGCGACACAAAAGCUUGGGGGUCCCAAAGAGCCCCCCCGAGCAGCCCCGGGGCUCGGGGAGGAGAGGACGGUGAGGCCGAUGGCACCGGGGCGCUGCCGUGCCAGCCCUGUCCCGCUGGCACCGGAGGCCGUGCCACGCUGCCAAAGGUCUCCCGGAGUUGCUCCCGAGCCUCUCCAGCUCCGGCUGAUGCCCCAGUUCACCUUCGCCUGUUUCUGUGGCCUCCACGGCUUCUGCAAGAUGAAGAGGAAGAAGGAAGAGGCCGGCGGGGGGCAGGAGACGGCCGUGUGAGGGGCGGCUCUGCCCGGGACCCCUCUGUCCCCUCGGCUCCCCGGGGCAGAGCCAGAGCCCGCCCUGACCUUGCCGAGGAUGUCACCCUGAUGUCACCCCGAUGUCACCCCGGUGUCACACAGGUGCCGCUGCCACCCUGCCCGGACACCCCGUCCUCCCUCAUCCCUCUGGGAGCGACAAUUCCAUCCUGAUCCAGCCCAGCUCCAGCAAUUCCCAGCAGAAAGACACGGAAAAAUCCCAAGAAACCGGCCCAGAGCUCAUCCAUGCCAGAGCCGGACGGUGCGAGGUGCAGCUCAUCCUCCCGAUCCGGAUCCCACCGGAAUUCCUACAAAUCCCUGUCCACGGAUUCCGCCAGAAUUCCUACAAAUCCCUGUCCAUGGAUCCCGCCAGAAUUCCUACAAAUCCCUGUCCAUGGAUCCUGCCGGAAUUCCUA